GACGAACGCUGGCGGCGUGCCUAAUACAUGCAAGUUGAGCGCUGAAGGUUGGUACUUGUACCGACUGGAUGAGCAGCGAACGGGUGAGUAACGCGUGGGGAAUCUGCCUUUGAGCGGGGGACAACAUUUGGAAACGAAUGCUAAUACCGCAUAAAAACUUUAAACACAAGUUUUAAGUUUGAAAGAUGCAAUUGCAUCACUCAAAGAUGAUCCCGCGUUGUAUUAGCUAGUUGGUGAGGUAAAGGCUCACCAAGGCGAUGAUACAUAGCCGACCUGAGAGGGUGAUCGGCCACAUUGGGACUGAGACACGGCCCAAACUCCUACGGGAGGCAGCAGUAGGGAAUCUUCGGCAAUAGACGAAAGUCUGACCGAGCAACGCCGCGUGAGUGAAGAAGGUUUUCGGAUCGUAAAACUCUGUUGGUGGAGAAGAACGUUGGUGAGAGUGGAAAGCUCAUCAAGUGACGGUAACUACCCAGAAAGGGACGGCUAACUACGUG
rnacentral:rRNA from 1 species